AUGAACGCUGGCGGCGUGCCUAAUACAUGCAAGUCGAGCGCACAGACGAGGAGCUUGCUCCUCUGACGUUAGCGGCGGACGGGUGAGUAACACGUGGAUAACCUACCUAUAAGACUGGGAUAACUUCGGGAAACCGGAGCUAAUACCGGAUAAUAUAUUGAACCGCAUGGUUCAAUAGUGAAAGACGGUUUUGCUGUCACUUAUAGAUGGAUCCGCACCGCAUUAGCUAGUUGGUAAGGUAACGGCUUACCAAGGCAACGAUGCGUAGCCGACCUGAGAGGGUGAUCGGCCACACUGGAACUGAGACACGGUCCAGACUCCUACGGGAGGCAGCAGUAGGGAAUCUUCCGCAAUGGGCGAAAGCCUGACGGAGCAACGCCGCGUGAGUGAUGAAGGUCUUCGGAUCGUAAAACUCUGUUAUUAGGGAAGAACAAAUGUGUAAGUAACUAUGCACGUCUUGACGGUACCUAAUCAGAAAGCCACGGCUAACUACGUG
rnacentral:rRNA from 1 species